GAUGAACGCUGGCGGUGUGCCUAAUACAUGCAAGUCGAGCGAACAGACGAGGAGCUUGCUCCUCUGACGUUAGCGGCGGACGGGGGAGUAACACGUGGAUAACCUACCUAUAAGACUGGGAUAACUUCGGGAAACCGGAGCUAAUACCGGAUAAUAUAUUGAACCGCAUGGUUCAAUAGUGAAAGACGGUUUUGCUGUCACUUAUAGAUGGAUCCGCGCCGCAUUAGCUAGUUGGUAAGGUAACGGCUUACCAAGGCAACGAUGCGUAGCCGACCUGAGAGGGUGAUCGGCCACACUGGAACUGAGACACGGUCCAGACUCCUACGGGAGGCAGCAGUAGGGAAUCUUCCGCAAUGGGCGAAAGCCUGACGGAGCAACGCCGCGUGAGUGAUGAAGGUCUUCGGAUCGUAAAACUCUGUUAUUAGGGAAGAACAAAUGUGUAAGUAACUAUGCACGUAUUGACGGUACCUAAUCAGAAAGCCACGGCUAACUACGUG
rnacentral:rRNA from 1 species